UUCACCCAUCCACUUCCUCUCCUGUCCACCUCCUUCCUCCCACCCCACCCCUCGAUCCACCAACCAACCGCCGCGCUGCGCACCAGGCCGGCCAACUACCGCCGUGCGCCGCGCCCCAGGCCGGCCAACUACCACCGCGCGCCGCUCCCCAGUCUGGGCACCCCCCGGUGUGCCUCGCCUUCCUCCUUUCAUCCUCCUCGAGACGCCGGCCACUCAGCAGCCCCCUCAGCUGUCGGCUGGCGCGACCACGCCUCCCCACGCCGGGCUGCCUUCCCCGUCGAUGGAUACGAGCUCUACUGGCCCAGGCGACGCUACCAUCGCAGGAUUCGGCGAGAUUUGCCCAAGUAAACACCAUCUCCGUCGGUUAGGGCCCGCCGCGCCGGCUGGCGUCAGAUCCGCCCAUCCUUGCGCGAUGUUGGCCUUCCUUCUACCUCCAAUGUGCGGAUCCCCUCCCCUUCGUCUCCUCCUUCUAGCUCCAACCUCCCUCCGCUACCGGCCGGUGCGGCCUCGAGCCCUCGACUCCUGCGCCAACAACCGAACUCCCGCGCCACCAACCGCAGCAACGGCCUCAAGACGGUGUUUCCUCUCCUCAUCGCCGUGCCCUCUCUCCAUUCCCACGCAGUCCACUUCAGAGAGAAGGAGGAACUCCAUCACCGGCGCAUGUGCCACUCGCGAGGUGAAGCCGCCUCCCAGUUUGCGGGGUGUGCGUGUGGAGUACGGCGGGCGCGUCGGUGCAGUCUGGUGGGCGCGUCAGUGCAGUCCGUCCGGGUAGAGCGUGCAUUGCUCACGCGCCACAUCCCCCGCCGGUUAGCCGCCCCUCUGUCCACCUCCUACGCCGCUGGAGUAACACAGUCGUUUUUCUUCUUCUUCUUCUUCCUUUUUUGGAUUUUGGAUAUGUAGUACAGUCGGAUCCCUCAGGCAGUGCGCCACGCGCCCUCGUUCGGUACGCUAAUAUCCAGUUCAUCGUAGUCCGGCCUUGGGCAGCAAGUGAGCCCCUCCCGUCCACCCGGGCUAUGGAGGCGAGCUAGAUCCGGCGAGAUCCUUUCCUCUACGGUCCCCGGCCGUCCAACCUCACGCCCCGACGGCCUCCUGCAAGCACGGAUGGGUCGACGCCACCCCGUCCGCACUGCAUUUGUAAAAAAAUUCAGAAAAAAAUUAAAGAAUGGUGAAGUUCAUUUGGGGCAUCUCGGCCGCCGCCGUUGCGCCGUGCUACCCCGACACUACAGUCUACAGAGCAAUAGCGGCAACAUGGCUCCUCGUUCUGCCUUCUAGAGCAGCGGUGCAGUUGCUGCGGCCAUGCAGCUCGGCUUGCGGACAAAUGCAGUUGACUUGCACAGGCCGGUUGCUCUCUGCGAGGAACCAAUUUGAUACCAUUUUUAUUUGGGUGAUUCAGCGUCAGAAGCUAACUCUUGCUUUUGCAUCUUUUCUUCCACAGCGGUUGCAGAUGUGUUGGAGCAAGAGGGCUCCUAAAACAUAGCCUGCAUCACCUUAAGUCUUCAGACACUGAAACCAGGUAUCAACAUUAAGUACACUGAUCUCUGGAAUCCUCUCUAGAAUUUACUGAUGAAAUCUUGUGUUAGUGUACAGUGUUUUGCAAUUCUCCUGGUUUGUGUUGCAAUUCUACCUGUGCAGCUCAGUUGCCUCUCCCCGUGCAGCUCGCUUGCCGCCCCCGUGCAGCUCACCUCCGCCGAGCAAACUCUUUUCGGCGAGUCCACAUCGCGUCCGCACCACAUCGUGCAAUUUGAGUGCAGUUUUUGAUUAUUUUUGGAGCAGCACAUCCAUCCAACCCAAUAAGUUCAGAGUUUGUGUGUUCAGUGCAGUACCGCAGUGCAAUGCAGUGCAGUUUCGGUUUCAGAGUCCCGUUGAAGGCCUCUUGGUGCUAUCCUCACUUAAUUUUUAUGUGAAAAUGUGUGUACAGCCUGUGUAACAGAAUUGCAAGGCCAAGUUUGUCAUAAAAAAUGAUGCUUAGAUGCGAUUCAGUGUAAAAUCCUAUGUGGUUCACUUGGUAAACAAAAAAGUGUCUGGUAUGUAAAUUUUUGAAGCUCACUUUGUAAUGUCAUGUGGCUAACCUCUCGAUA